GAUGAAUGCUGGCGGCGUGUCUAAGGCAUGCAAGUCGAACGAUAUAGUGGCAGACGGGAGAGUAAGACAGUGGAAUCUGCCCCGUACCCGAGGACAACCAUUAGAAAUGAUGGCUAAUACUCGAUAGUCUCCUUCGGGAGUAAAACUCCGGUGGUACGGGAGGAUCCUUUGGUCCAUCAGCUUGUUGGUAAGGUAACGGCUUACCAAGGCGACGACGGAUAGCGGGUGUGAGAGCACGACCCGCCUCACUGGGACUGAGACACUGCCCAGACAUCUACGGAUGGCUGCAGUCAAGAAUCUUCCGCAAUGGGCGAAAGCCUGACGGAGCGACGCCGCGUGUGGGAAGACGCCUUUCGGGGUGUAAACCACUUUUCUGUGGGAAAAAUUAGCGAUGGUACCACAGGAAUAAGGGGCUGCUAACUAUG
rnacentral:rRNA from 1 species